rnacentral:rRNA from 1 species
UACGGGGGGAGCAAGCGUUGUUCGGAUUUACUGGGCGUAAAGGGCGCGUAGGCGGCCAGCACAAGUCAGUUGUGAAAUCUCCGAGCUUAACUCGGAAAGGUCAACUGAUACUGUGCGGCUAGAGUGCAGAAGGGGCAACUGGAAUUCUCGGUGUAGCGGUGAAAUGCGCAGAUAUCAGGAGGAACACCGGUGGCGAAGGCGGGUCUCUGGGCCGAAACUGACGCUGAGGAGCGAAAGCGUGGGGAGCAAACAGG